rnacentral:misc_RNA from 1 species
AUCGGCGGACUUCCUUAGGGUUCCAUAUCUCUGUAUUUUGCGUCUAUGCUCGGAGCUCUCAACGGUGAUCUUGUUGAUUUCUGUUGAACGCUGCCAGAGAAUGGAUCCGUGGACGUCUGAACCCGAUGUUCGUUCCUGUAAUUAUUCUGCUGUGCGAGUUUCGGCGGCGGAGUCUGGUGAAUGAUCCAGAUCUGAUAGGUACGAACGAAAUGAAGUCGGAUCUUGGAUCUCUUCCAUUCUGAACUCCUUCUGGAGCCGUGGCCGCUUGUCAUCGUCGUCUUGUGUGAUGUCUAUAUAAUCAAGACUUUGUUGAUCGUGUUUGAAGAAGCGAUGAAAGAGUCUGUUGAGACUUAUAUUCAUGUUCGAUUGAAGCAUUAACUCUGUAUAUUAAUAUAGAGCGCGUCGGAAAAGAUUAGUUUAGUGUUGCUCUGGAUGUGAAAGGUAUCGGGAGAACAUCCUCCUUGUGGGGGAUGAAGCUUUAUGUUUCUUUGUCAUCCGACCUUUGCCAUGACAGGUGCGCUUGCAUGGCAGGUCAUCGGAAAAAAAAUAAAAUAGCAUCGUUUUUGUUUUGAGGAAGAAGCCGCACGGGGUUUGCCCGGGGUUUCUUCCUCGUUGUUCUGUGUUUUCUUCUCGUUCUCUCUUACUCUCAGUUCGUCUAUCUUCAACCAACCGCCAUCAACUGCUUCUCGGAUUUCUCUGAUUUCGCGCCGUUUAAGCCAAGAUUGGGGAAAUUUCAACACUGCUUGCUCGCUAGCCAAGAUUAAUCGAGGAUUUUACAAGCUACUUGGCGUUGGAGAAUGGUUAUUGCUCGUGGGUGAAUGGAAGAUAAAAUCUGGAACAAGUAUCACUCGUCUCUGCCGAGUCUUUUCAUUAAUGGAAGGUCUUGUAUUAUUUCUGUUUUUCAUUCGCUUCUGAAUUCAGCAUUUUUUUCAAUAGUUGCAUUAUGCAGUGCUAAUUCUUUAUAUCUAUUGAGGUCUUUUUUUAGUAUGAUUACGUGAUUGGACAAAGUUUCUAUUUAGGGUUUAGGGUGGAUGGAUGUCUAAUUAAUUAUGUUUUCUCACUGAUUUGUCACCGAAGUUUGGAAUACUAUGUUCUAUUAUUACUCGAU